rnacentral:rRNA from 1 species
CCUACGGGAGGCAGCAGUGAGGAAUAUUGGUCAAUGGGCGCGAGCCUGAACCAGCCAAGUCGCGUGAGGGAAGACGGCCCUACGGGUUGUAAACCUCUUUUGCCGGGGAGCAAAGGGCGCCACGUGUGGCGCCACGGAGAGGACCCGGAGAAAAAGCAGCGGCGAACUCCGGGCCAGCAGCCGCGGGAAGAAGGAGGAUCCGAGCGGUAGCCGGAUUGAUUGGGUUGAAAGGGAGCGUAGAUGGGUUGUUAAGUCAGUUGUGACUGUUUGCGGCUCAACCGUAAAAUUGCAAUUGAUACUGGCAGUCUUGAGUACAGUUGAGGUCGGCGGAAUUCGUGGUGUAGCGGUGACAUGCUUAGAUAUCACGCAGAACUCCGAUUGCGAAGGCAGCUUACUACACUGCCUCUGACAUUGAUGCUCGACAGUGUGGGUAUCAAACAGGAUUAGAUACCCCUGUAGUC